GAUGAACGCUAGCGGCAGGCUUAAUACAUGCAAGUCGAGGGGCAGCAUGACUGUAGCAAUACAGUUGAUGGCGACCGGCAAACGGGUGCGGAACACGUACAGAACCUUCCUUCGAGCGGGGAAUAGCCCAGAGAAAUUUGGAUUAAUACCCCAUAGUACAACGGAGUGGCAUCACUUUGUUGUUAAAGAUUUAUCACUUGAAGAUGGCUGUGCGGCUGAUUAGGUAGUUGGCGGGGUAACGGCCCACCAAGCCUGCGAUCAGUAACUGGUGUGAGAGCACGACCAGUCACACGGGCACUGAGACACGGGCCCGACUCCUACGGGAGGCAGCAGUAAGGAAUAUUGGUCAAUGGACGAAAGUCUGAACCAGCCAUGCCGCGUGGAGGAUGAAGGUCCUCUGGAUUGUAAACUUCUUUUAUAUGGGACGAAAAAAGGGUUUUCUAACUCGUCUGACGGUACCAUAUGAAUAAGCACCGGCUAACUCCGUG
rnacentral:rRNA from 1 species